AGUGAACGCUGGCGGCAGGCCUAACACAUGCAAGUCGAACGGCAGCACAAGAGAGCUUGCUCUCUGGGUGGCGAGUGGCGGACGGGUGAGGAAUGCAUCGGAAUCUGCCCAUUUGUGGGGGAUAACCUCGGGAAACCGGGACUAAUACCGCAUACGACCUACGGGUGAAAGCAGGGGAUCUUCGGACCUUGCGCAGAUGGAUGAGCCGAUGCCGGAUUAGCUAGUUGGAGGGGUAAAGGCCCACCAAGGCGACGAUCCGUAGCUGGUCUGAGAGGAUGAUCAGCCACCCUGGGACUGAGACACGGCCCAGACUCCUACGGGGGGCAGCAGUGGGGAAUAUUGGACGAUGGGCGCGAGCCUGAUCCAGCCAUGCCGCGUGUGGGAAGAAGGCCUUCGGGUUGUAAAGCACUUUUGUUGUGAAAGAAAAGCAGCCGGUUAAUACCCGGUUGUCAUGACGGUACCCAAAGAAUAAGCACCGGCUAACUUCGUG
rnacentral:rRNA from 1 species